CCUACGGGAGGCUGCAGUGGGGAAUAUUGGACAAUGGGCGAAAGCCUGAUCCAGCCAUGCCGCGUGUGUGAAGAAGGCCUUCGGGUUGUAAAGCACUUUCAGUGGGGAAGAAAGCCUUGGGGCUAAUACCCUCGAGGAAGGACAUCACCCACAGAAGAAGCACCGGCUAACUCCGUGUCAGCAGCCGCGGUAAUACGGAGGGUGCGAGCGUUAAUCGGAAUUACUGGGCGUAAAGCGCGCGUAGGCGGUCUGAUAAGCCGGUUGUGAAAGCCCCGGGCUCAACCUGGGAACGGCAUCCGGAACUGUCAGGCUAGAGUGCAGGAGAGGAAGGUAGAAUUCCCGGUGUAGCGGUGAAAUGCGUAGAGAUCGGGAGGAAUACCAGUGGCGAAGGCGGCCUUCUGGACUGACACUGACGCUGAGGUGCGAAAGCGUGGGUAGCAAACAGGAUUAGAUACCCGAGUAGUC
rnacentral:rRNA from 1 species